UGACCUGAGUUGUGGCUAAACAUAUAGAC
rnacentral:piRNA from 1 species